AUUGAACGCUGGCGGCAGGCCUAACACAUGCAAGUCGAGCGGAUGAAGGGAGCUUUCUCCUGGAUUCAGCUGCGGACGGGUGAGUAAUGCCUAGGAAUCUGCCUUGUAGUGGGGGAUAACGUCCGGACACGGGCGCUAAUACCGCAUACGUCCUGAGGUAGAAAGUGGGGGAUCUUCGGACCUCACGCUAUCAGAUGAGCCUAGGUCGGAUUAGCUAGUUGGUGGGGUAAAGGCCUACCAAGGCGACGAUCCGUAACUGGUCUGAGAGGAUGAUCAGUCACACUGGAACUGAGACACGGCCCAGACUCCUACGGGAGGCAGCAGUGGGGAAUAUUGGACAAUGGGCGAAAGCCUGAUCCAGCAAUGCCGCGUGUGUGAAGAAGGUCUUCGGAUUGUAAAGCACUUUAAGUUGGGAGGAAGGGCAGUAAGUUAAUACCUUGCUGUUUUGACGUUACCAACAGAAUAAGCACCGGCUAACUUCGUG
rnacentral:rRNA from 1 species